rnacentral:misc_RNA from 1 species
AAGUCGUAACAAGGUUUCCGUAGGUGAACCUGCGGAAGGAUCAUUAGAAAGUCUGCUCGGCGGAGACGCCGACCUACCUUCAAACCACUGUGAAACCAAGACCUUUGCUUCGCGGCGUGCCUGCGCAACCCCCCCUCGCCGGGGCGGGCGCGCGCGUCCGCAGAGCCAAGCCAAACCAACUUGUUAACAGUCUGUCUGAUACCAUGAAUUAAAAAAUUCGUUAAAA